CAACUACCGCUCAGGGCCGGAAAGCUCUCCAAAACUCCGGUCAUUUAGAGGAAGUAAAAGUCGUAACAAGGUCUCCGUUGGUGAACCAGCGGAGGGAUCAUUACCGAGUUUACAACUCCCAAACCCCUGUGAACAUACCUUAUGUUGCCUCGGCGGAUCAGCCCGCGCCCCGUAAAAAGGGACGGCCCGCCGCAGGAACCCUAAACUCUGUUUUUAGUGGAACUUCUGAGUAUAAAAAACAAAUAAAUCAAAACUUUCAACAACGGAUCUCUUGGUUCUGGCAUCGAUGAAGAACGCAGCAAAAUGCGAUAAGUAAUGUGAAUUGCAGAAUUCAGUGAAUCAUCGAAUCUUUGAACGCACAUUGCGCCCGCCAGUAUUCUGGCGGGCAUGCCUGUUCGAGCGUCAUUUCAACCCUCAAGCCCAGCUUGGUGUUGGGAGCUGCAGUCCUGCUGCACUCCCCAAAUACAUUGGCGGUCACGUCGAGCUUCCAUAGCGUAGUAAUUUACACAUCGUUACUGGUAAUCGUCGCGGCCACGCCGUUAAACCCCAACUUCUGAAUGUUGACCUCGGAUCAGGUAGGAAUACCCGCUGAACUUAAGCAUAUCAAUAAGCGGAGGAAAAGAAACCAACAGGGAUUGCCCUAGUAACGGCGAGUGAAGCGGCAACAGCUCAAAUUUGAAAUCUGGCUUUCGGGCCCGAGUUGUAAUUUGUAGAGGAUGAUUUGAUGCGGUGCCUUCCGAGUUCCUGGA
rnacentral:rRNA from 1 species